rnacentral:rRNA from 1 species
CAGUCGCCGCGGUAAUACGUAGGGUGCAAGCGUUUAUCGGAAUUACUGGGCGUAAAGCGUGCGCAGGCGGUUAUAUAAGACAGAUGUGAAAUCCCCGGGCUCAACCUGGGAACUGCAUUUGUGACUGUAUAGCUAGAGUACGGCAGAGGGGGAUGGAAUUCCGCGUGUAGCAGUGAAAUGCGUAGAUAUGCGGAGGAACACCGAUGGCGAAGGCAAUCCCCUGGGCCUGUACUGACGCUCAUGCACGAAAGCGUGGGGAGCAAACAGGAUUAGAUACCCGCGUAGUCCCUGUCUCUUAUAC